rnacentral:misc_RNA from 1 species
GAUGAAGAACGUAGUGAAAUGCGAUACGUAAUGUGAAUUGCAGAAUUCAGUGAAUCAUCGAGUCUUUGAACGCACAUUGCGCCCCCUGGUAUUCCGGGGGGCAUGCCUGUCCGAGCGUCAUUGCUGCCCUCAAGCACGGCUUGUGUGUUGGGCCUCCGUCCUCCUCCCGGGGGACGGGCCCGAAAGGCAGCGGCGGCACCGCGUCCGGUCCUCGAGCGUAUGGGGCUUCGUCACCCGCUCUUGUAGGCCCGGCCGGCGCUUGCCGACACAUCAAUCUUUUUUCCAGGUUGACCUCGGAUCAGGUAGGGAUACCCGCUGAACUUAAGCAUAUCAGUAAGCGGAGGA